AUACGCUUCUUUCACCACAGCAUUUUGGCAACAUGUGCAAACUCACUCUAACUGCAGGUCUCUGUUUGAUCAUCGCCAGCUUGGGAUAUCCUGGCCUCACGAAUACAGCUGCAGUGCCUCCAAACUUCUGUGAUGGAAAGAGCAAUGGGCAAUACACCAACCCUGCUGACCCACAUUCUUUUUACAAUUGUUGGGAUGGAGGAACCUACCUCCAAAAGUGCCAAAAUAAUCUGGUCUUUAACCAACAAUGCAGCUGCUGUGACUAUACUGUGUCUCCACCUACCACAACCUCAACUCCCCCUACUGCAACUACAACUCCACCUACUAAAACUCCAACUCCAACACCUCUUGAUAACUUUUGUAAUGUAAAGAGCAAUGGGCAAUACACCUACCCUGCUGAUCCACAUUCUUUUUACAAUUGUUGGGAUGGAAGAACCUACCUCCAAAAGUGCCAAAAUAAUCUGGUCUUUGACCAACAAUGCAGCUGCUGUGACUAUGAUGUAACUCCCCCUACCACAACUUCAUCUCCACCUACUACAACUACAGUAAAGGGCUGUAAUGGAUUGUGUCUUGGAUAGAGUGUGACUAUCCUGAAAACACCUACUGAUAACUUCUUUAAUGAAAGAGCAAUGGGCAAUACUCUGCCCCUGCUGACCAACAUUCUUUAUACAUUUUUGGUAAUGGAAUAGCCUACUUUCAAUACUUCUCGUCGUAGUUUGUCUUUAACCAUAACUGUAACUGCUGUGACUAUCCCACAAAGAACACACCUACACAUAUUGAUAACUUCUGUAAUUGACAGAAAGGGAACUUCAACAAGCUCCACCUACCAGGGUGACAAACAAGCUUUGUACGGGUGACAGAGGCA